GAUGAACGCUGGCGGCGUGCCUAAUACAUGCAAGUCGAGCGAACAGACGAGGAGCUUGCUCCUUUGACGUUAGCCGCGCACGGGUGAGUAACACGUGGAUAACCUACCUAUAAGACUGGGAUAACUUCGGGAAACCGGAGCUAAUACCGGAUAACCUCCUGAACCGCAUGGUUCAACAGUGAAAGACGGUCUUGCUGUCACUUAUAGAUGGAUCCGCGCCGCAUUAGCUAGUUGGUAAGGUAACGGCUUAUCAAGGCAACGAUGCGUAGCCGACCUGAGAGGGGGAUCGGCGACCUGGGAGGGGGGACGCGGACCAGACGCCUACGGGAGGCAGCAGUCUGGAAUGUUCCGCAAUGGGCGAAAGCCUGACGGAGCAGCGCGGCGUGAGUGAAGAAGGUGCUCGGAUCGUAAAACUGUGUUAUGAGGGAAGAACAAAUGUGUAAGGAGCUAUGCACGUCUUGACGGUAACUAGUCAGAAAGCAACGGCUAACUACGUG
rnacentral:rRNA from 1 species